AACCUAUUAGCUCAAAUGGUAGAGCACUCUGCAGAUGCAUAGGGAAUGUAGGUUCGAUUCCUACAUAGGUUG
rnacentral:tRNA from 1 species